rnacentral:lncRNA from 1 species
CUUCACAAUCCAAAGUUUGUAAUACUUUCCAGAGUAAAACCUCUCUUAAACUUUUUAUUAUUGAAACCAUGGGUAUUCGUUUGCCAGGAGGAAUGCUCCGGGCCAAACAAUUUCUUCAACGAGCUACCCUUACAUCAAUGGCCACAGAAGUUCCUAAAGGCCACUUAGCAGUUUAUGUAGGAGAACACACAUCAAAGAAGCGAUAUGUUGUUCCAAUGUCAUUCCUAAACCAACCUACAUUCCAAGACUUACUAAGUAAAGCAGAAGAAGAGUACGGAUUCGUACAUCCAAUGGGUGGACUUACAAUUCCAUGCAACGAAGAUAUGUUCAUCAAUCUCACCUCAAGUCUGUACUGAUCAUGGCAGAUGAGGAGGACUAAUACAGAGAGAGUAGAAAAUUUUGCUAGAAACAAAAUCAGUUUAACAAAAGCGAUUGACUGACAAGAUUAGCAAGUCAUCAAAUUUUGUAUACAGUAGGGGUUAGAAAAGUAUCAAAACAACGUCUAUAUACUUUUUUGUUAAUGCUCUAUUUUUAUCGCAUUCAACCUAAUGACUUGUAUGCAUUUGCUUACAAAAUCAUGUACAGUAUGGUGUUCCUGAGCAUGCCAUAUUUAUUUAGUAAAUAAAUAACCGCUAUAAUAAGAAAUUCAAAAUUUUCAUAGCAAUUUACCAUAAACAGCCGAAAUUUCACAGCAAGAUAGUAUGACUACAAUGAAUUAUUAGAAACUCCUUAUAGUGUAACCAUGGAAAUCAAAGAAGAAAUUUCAAUAAAAAAUAACAAAUUACCUCAUCAGUUCUAAGGAUAGAUAAAGUAGUAGCACCUUCUAGCCGAAACCCUAGUGUAUGAGCCACCCCCACCAGGGACGAAAUUGGUCCAUGAACGAUCACAUCACCAUCAGCACCACCACUCGUUGCUCAGCAAACGUUUGAUGAAAUUCCGAAUCAUGAGCAAAAACAUCUCCUUUUAGAAGACUGCUGUAGGAGAACAUAGCAGCACUCUGUCUAUUUUCCCGGUAAGACCGACUGGUGUAACUUGUAAGGAAGCCAGUUAUUAGGGCUGCAUUGCAAUUUGCAAGCUUAUAUUUAGGCCUUUGAGUUUAUUAAGUUACUAUGUUAAUCCCAAUGGUCAUCAUCACCAAUCUAAUCAAAUAAUAUAACUACGGGCAAGCAAGGCUCCCUACUUGACUAAAGUAAGUAGGUAACCACUGUCCACUGAUAUGUUCAUUGUUCACUGAUCACUCAUUUGUGCCAAAAUAGUGUUAAAUAGGUAGGUGGUGCGAUACUGGAAACACUAGCUUCAUUCAUUAGUGUAAAUUACAUCCCUGGGUUGAUCUAGAUAGCAAUAUCUGACAGUGGCAAAGACGCGCACUCUUGUUGCCUACAAUACAGAUUACUUGCUCAACAGUAAACACUACCUAAGUUUGUACUGGCGGUCUACUGAUAUGAUCUUGUAGCUAAUAAAAAUAUGCAAAGACAGUCAUCCCAUCAGGUUUCUAUAAUACAAAAAUAGGGAACAUGUCACAAAUAAUAUGAAGUGUAAUGGUUUGUAUUGAUAACAUUGUUAAAGGGAGAUGCUUCUCUUUUCAAACUCCCUAUUUCUCUGUUACAAAAAAUGUAUAUGCAUUUACAUGGUUUCAACAACUCAGUGUGUCAACCAAAAAAAAAAAAAUCGGUGUUAUGUUAAGCUCAAUCAUGGACUAGCCCAUGGAAACAUGCUGCUGCAGUACUUCCUUAGCACCUGAAUUAUAAGGUGAUCACUCGAGUAGUUAGAUUUAUGAAGGUGUCUUCGUCACAGGGAAUCGUAAGACCUCCCAUUGGAUGACUAAACCCAAACUCUUCCUCUGCUUGUUGUAGUAAGUCUUGGAAUGAAGGAUGGUUCAAGUAUGAUAAUGGAACCACAAACCGCUUCUUUUGGCUCUCGCCAACGUAAACUGCGAUGUGUCCUCUUGGAACAAUAGAGGUUUCUUCUUUAUUUGAAGGAGAUCUUCGAAGACUUCUCUUAAUAUGUGGAAUACCAGGUAAUCGAAUAGCCAUGGAUGCUAAAGAUUGACAAGAAGAAGUAAAAUGUGUAAUAUAUAGCUUAUUGCCCAAGAUCGAAAUUAUGUGAAUACUUGGAGUUUGAUGAUAUACUCUUUAGCUGAUACCUGUGUAUAUUUAUAGGGAGGAAGUGGUUCAAGAAAGUUUGAUGAGGGUAUCUUAAUAGACAUGCCCUUGUGAAGGAUCACAUGGUGUUGUCUGCUAUCUUUAAUUUCUGUAUAGGCGAGAGGGUGGUCACAGUGAUCCAUUGUUUUAUUUCAACAAUGUCCUACCAAGUAGAAGGCAGUACAGAAGAAUAGGCACUCACUCAAUAUAUAUUUGUACCAUCAAGAAAACAUGAAGAUUAGGUUUGCCUAAAUGUAUGUCGUUCUUAAGACAAACAAUUAGGUUAGCCUAAAUUAAACACCUACUCGUUGUUCAGCACAUAAGUUCAGGAGGACCUAUUCAAAGCUGUUGACACAAAUGAUAGGCCAUAGGGGCUUGAAACAAGUGGUACAAAUUGUCCCCCUUGACAAAUUUUGAUAAUUAGUUGUAGGGCAGAACCAUGUGAAAGUUCAUGACGCAUGUUUUGAUCUUAACAAGCCAAUUAAACUCGUUAUCUACAUAUAUGUAGAUUAUGAUGCAUUAUGAGGAUAUCAUCCAAUUCAUUUGUUCGCAGUCUAUAGUUUCUAAAGCUUUCCUUGACAACAACCUGUCAUAAACUCUCGAGUACACUUGAUUAAUAUUAUCAAAACCAUGGGUGUUUGCUUGCCAGGAGGAGUGCUCCGUGCCAAAUAUUUUCUUCGCCGGGCUAUUCUUACAUCAAUUGCCACAGAUGCCACUUAGCAGUUUACGUAGGCAAGAAGCAGACAGAAAAGAAGUGAUAUGUGGUUCCAUUGUCAUUCUUAAAUCAACCUACAUUCCAAGACUUACUACGUAAAACAGAAGAAGAGUUUGGAUUUGAUCAUCCAAUACACCGACUAACAAUUCCAUGCAACGAGGAUUUCUUCAUACUGAUCGAUCAUGACAGAAAAAGGAUGAUAGUGAAUCAAGUAUUUAGUAACAGAAACUAUUGACCAACAUAAUUAGCAAAUCAAAUUUUGUACAGUAGGGACUAGAAAUGUAUCAAAACAAUGUACAUUCAUUUUUUAAUGCAUCUGCGUAUGCUAUGUUAAACUCUGGGUCUUGUGAAAUUGCAGAAAUUUCAUUGCAAUUUACUGUGAAAAUAGCGAAAAAAAUUUGAUAGCGGCAUAGAUAUAGAUAAAAAAUCCACUUGGAUUCAAAACUUAGAAGUUAAGGUUGUUUGGCUUUGGUGGCCUGCAAGAGUGUAAUUGAAGCUAUAAUAGCAAGAAUGAUAGUCGUGCGUGCAGACGUGCAGGCAUGAUGUAUUGUAUAAACUAAACUGUGUGAAC